CCAUCUAGCAAUCCAGUAUCAGACUCUCUUAAAUUAUUUGCUGAAAAUGAAAUGAUGCUUACCGUAUCAUGGCAAUGAUAGCGAGACGAAACUUGGCGUAAGUUAUUUCCUUUGGGAAAUUCAAAUUACCGAAGACACUCGCCUUUGUACAUAUGCAACAUAAUAUUUGUACAUAGGUAAACUGAACAAGAAUAAAAAGAAAAA